GACGAACCGUGCGAACGUUGUUCGGAAUCACUGGGCUUAAAGGGUGCGUAGGCGGGCUCGUUAGUCGGGGGUGAAAUCCCACGGCCCAACCGUGGAAGUGCCUCCGAUACUGCGGGCCUAGAGGGGAUAGGGGCGUGCGGAACUUCCGGUGGAGCGGUGAAAUGCGUAGAUAUCGGAAGGAACACCGGUGGCGAAAGCGGCGCGCUGG
rnacentral:rRNA from 1 species